rnacentral:rRNA from 1 species
UACGUAGGGCGCAAGCGUUGUCCGGAAUUAUUGGGCGUAAAGAGCUCGUAGGCGGCUUGUCACGUCGGGUGUGAAAGCCCGGGGCUUAACCCCGGGUCUGCAUUCGAUACGGGCUAGCUAGAGUGUGGUAGGGGAGAUCGGAAUUCCCGGUGUAGCGGUGAAAUGCGCAGAUAUCAGGAGGAACACCGGUGGCGAAGGCGGAUCUCUGGGCCAUUACUGACGCUGAGGAGCGAAAGCGUGGGGAGCGAACAGG